rnacentral:rRNA from 1 species
AGCGAACGCUGGCGGCAGGCCUAACACAUGCAAGUCGAACGGACCCUUGGGGUUAGUGGCGGACGGGUGAGUGACACGUGGGAACGUGCCUUUAGGUUCGGAAUAGCUCCUGGAAACGGGUGGUAAUGCCGAAUGUGCCCUUCGGGGGAAAGAUUUAUCGCCUUCAGAGCGGCCCGCGUCUGAUUAGCUAGUUGGUGAGGUAAAGGCUCACCAAGGCUACGAUCAGUAGCUGGUCUGAGAGGAUGACCAGCCACAUUGGGACUGAGACACGGCCCAAACUCCUACGGGAGGCAGCAGUGGGGAAUCUUGCGCAAUGGGCGAAAGCCUGACGCAGCCAUGCCGCGUGGAUGAUGAAGGUCUUAGGAUUGUAAAAUCCUCUCAUCGGUGAAGAUAAUGACUGUAGCCGGAGAAGAAGCCCCGGCUAACUUCGUGCCAGCCGCCGCCGUAACAC